GUGGGGAAUAUUGGACAAUGGGCGAAAGCCUGAUCCAGCCAUGCCGCGUGUGUGAAGAAGGUCUUCGGAUUGUAAAGCACUUUAAGUUGGGAGGAAGGGUAGUAACCUAAUACGUUGCUACUUUGACGUUACCGACAGAAUAAGCACCGGCUAACUUCGUGCCAGCAGCCGCGGUAAUACGAAGGGUGCAAGCGUUAAUCGGAAUUACUGGGCGUAAAGCGCGCGUAGGUGGUUCAGUAAGUUGGAAGUGAAAUCCCCGGGCUCAACCUGGGAACUGCAUCCAAAACUGGCGAGCUAGAGUAGGGCAGAGGGUGGUGGAAUUUCCUGUGUAGCGGUGAAAUGCGUAGAUAUAGGAAGGAACACCAGUGGCGAAGGCGACCACCUGGGCUCAUACUGACACUGAGGUGCGAAAGCGUGGGGAGCAAACAGGAUUAGAUACCCGUGUAGUCC
rnacentral:rRNA from 1 species